AGAGUUGAUAUGGCUCAGGACGAACGCUGGCGGCGUGCCUAACACAUGCAAGUCGAACGGAGCUUACGCUGAAAUUGAGAGCAGCUUGCUGCAGGAAAUUCUUGUAACGCUUAGUGGCGGACGGGUGAGUAACGCGUGAGGAACCUGCCUUACAGAGGGGGACAACAGUUGGAAACGACUGCUAAUACCGCAUAACAUAGCGAAAGGACAUCCUUUUGUUAUCAAAGGAGCAAUCCGCUGUAAGAUGGCCUCGCGUCCGAUUAGAUAGUUGGCGGGGUAACGGCCCACCAAGUCUACGAUCGGUAGCCGGACUGAGAGGUUGAACGGCCACAUUGGGACUGAGACACGGCCCAGACUCCUACGGGAGGCAGCAGUGGGGGAUAUUGCACAAUGGAGGAAACUCUGAUGCAGCAACGCCGCGUGAGGGAAGAAGGUUUUCGGAUUGUAAACCUCUGUUUUCGGUGACGAAACAAAUGACGGUAGCCGAAGAGGAAGCCACGGCUAACUACGUGCCAGCCGCAGC
rnacentral:rRNA from 1 species